GUGUCAGCAGCCGCGGUAAGACAGAGGGUGCAAACGUUGUUCGGAAUCACUGGGCGUAAAGCGCGUGUAGGCGGCUUGGCAAGUCGGAUGUGAAAGCCCACGGCUCAACCGUGGAAGUGCACUCGAAACUGCCAGACUAGAGUCCUGGAGAGGAAGGCGGAAUGCUAGGUGUAGAGGUGAAAUUCGUAGAUAUCUAGCGGAACACCGGUGGCGAAGGCGGCCUUCUGGACAGUGACUGACGCUGAAACGCGAAAGCGUGGGGAGCAAACAGGAUUAGAUACCCCCGUAGUCC
rnacentral:rRNA from 1 species